AUGAGGGCUUUCUCAUCAGCCAUACCAUGCAUCUGCAGCCUCCAGCACCUGAGAUGGACUGAACACUUGCUGUUUGCCAGUACCAAUAUACAACUCCUCAUAUUAUUCUCCUCACCAAGCAACAGGUCAUUAAGUUACACCAUUUAACAUUCCUUCAGUCAUGAGACGGUGUAAGAAAGAAGCCAUGCAGCGACUGCCCAAAAGGCAUCCAUUUCCAGAGAGCUGAGAUGGAGGCAGAGCAUUGGGGUUUGCUUAGUCAGAAUGGAAGCUGUGGGAGAAAAAUGCACUUAUAAGGAUAAAGGAAGGGACAGAAAAUAAUAGAAGGUAAAGUGUUUGUGGGUGAAAAAAAAUCUAUGCUUUCUUUGCUAAUGGCUGUUGAAGACACCUACCAGAGCCCUGCAUGAAAAAGCUGUGCAGAACUGGGUAUUCACAGAAUCACAGGCUAGCUGAGGCUGGCAGGGCCCUCUGAGGUCCAACUGGUCCCACCCUGCUCAAGCAGGGACACCCAGAGCAGGAUGACCAGGACCACGUACAAGAAACUUAUUGAAGAUCUCCAAGGAUACAAAUUCCACAACCUUGCUGGGCACCCAGUACCAGUUCUGCCGCCCACGCAGUAAAAAAACACUUCCUGAAAUUCAAUGUACAGACAGAAUUAAAUGCACAAACAGGAAAAAAAAAAAAAAAAAAAGUGCUGGGGCAAAUGGUCAGAGCAAAUGGAAACAGGAAAGAAGGUUGUCACUGCUCCCUGUGAAGGAAGUGACGUGAGGUGAUGCAGCCACGGAAGGUGUAGGGUUGUUUCCAUUCACUUUGACAUCUGUGGGGGUUCCACUACUUUACCUCUCAGCUCCAGGUCUGGCUAUCACCAAGCUGUAGGCACCAAGCUGUCAGGUGCCCUGAGAGAACAGAGGGCUCAUCCAUCUGGACUUCCCCUGUUGCAAGGUCUCUCUGCAUUUUUGAACAAUAACCAGUGAUCGCUCCUUCAGGAAUACCACAACCAAACUAAGACACUGCAUACCAACACUAUCAUUUCUCACUUCCAAAGUCCCACCACUACAUUGAUCUUUACUUAAAGGGGGAGUUACAUGUUGAAUACCUGGUGCAAAUGACUCUGAACUGACAUUUGGUAGUUCUGAAAUCUCAAAUGUACUCAUCCCCUUGUGCACAUAAUGUACAUAAUCCUGUGAGUAUUCAUUUUCUAUUAAUACAAUAAAGAGAUCAUCAAAUGGAACUUUAAAGCUGCA
rnacentral:lncRNA from 1 species